rnacentral:rRNA from 1 species
UGGGGAAUUUUGGACAAUGGGGGCAACCCUGAUCCAGCCAUACCGCGUGAGUGAAGAAGGCCUUCGGGUUGUAAAGCUCUUUCGGCAGGAAAGAAAUCGCACUGGAUAAUACCUUGUGUGGAUGACGGUACCUGAAGAAGAAGCACCGGCUAACUACGUGCCAGCAGCCGCGGUAAUACGUAGGGUGCGAGCGUUAAUCGGAAUUACUGGGCGUAAAGCGUGCGCAGGCGGUUUUGUAAGACAGAUGUGAAAUCCCCGGGCUUAACCUGGGAACUGCAUUUGUGACUGCGAGACUAGAGUGUAGCAGAGGGGGGUAGAAUUCCACGUGUAGCAGUGAAAUGCGUAGAGAUGUGGAGGAAUACCGAUGGCGAAGGCAGCCCCCUGGGUUAACACUGACGCU